rnacentral:rRNA from 1 species
ACUGCUCAGUAACACGUGGAUAACUUGUCCUGUGGACCGGGAUAACCCCUGGGAAACUGGGGCUAAUACCGGAUAGAGCAGCGAUCGCUGGAAUGCACGAUGCUCCAAAGCUCCGGCACCACAGGGUAGGUCUGCGGCCGAUUAGGUCGUUGUUGAUGUAACGGAUCAACAAGCCUCCGAUCGGUAUGGGUUGUGAGAGCAAUAGCCCAGAGAUGGGUUCUGAGAUAAGAACCCAGGUCCUACGGGACGCAUCAGGCGCGAAAACUUUACACUGUGCGCCAGCACGAUAAGGGAACUCUGAGUGCCUCCUCAGGAGGCUGUUCAGGUGUCUAAAACGCAUCUGAAGGAAGGGCUGGGUAAGACUGGUGCCAGCCGCCGCGGUAACACCAGCAGCCCAAGUGGUAGCCACUCUUACUGGGUCUAAAGCGCCCGUAGCCGGCCAGGUAAGUUCCUUGGGAAAUUUGAUCGCUUAACGAUUAAGCGUCCAGGGAAUACUGCCCGGCUUGGGACCGGGAGAGGUCAGAGGUACCCCAAGGGUAGGGGUGAAAUCCGUUAAUCCUUGGGGGACCGCCGGUAGCGAAGGCGUCUGACUAGACCGGAUCCGACGGUGAGGGGCGAAGGCUAGGGGAGCGAACCGGAUUAGAUACCCGGGUAGUCCUAGCUGUAAACGAUGCGGGCUAGGUGUUGGCAUUACUGCGAGUGAUGCCAGUGCCGAAGGGAAGCCGUUAAGCUCGCCAUCUGGGGAGUACGGUCGCAAGGCUGAAACUUAAAGGAAUUGGCGGGGGAGCACAAU